UUUCAGUGAUGAAGAAAUGAUGACGAGUCCGAUGGAAAUAAAAAUCUCAUUUUUUUUCCAAAGCUCGUGAGGACAAAUCGAGGCAUUUGUCUGAGAGAA